AGAGAUUAAAUUAUACAUAUUAGGGUAAAAAGGCAGUUAAAUAUUAAAUCACUAUGAAGCAUUAGUUUAUUAAUUUCUUAUAUAGAAGUAAAAUUUAUACAUAAGAAAAUAACUCAAAAUAAACUAAUAUAUUGACUCUGCGAUAGCCUUGAGGGAAACUGGGAUUAGAUACCCCAUUAUUCUUGGCCGUAAAUUGAUGAAAAUCUACCGGAGUACUACGAAUUAGAGAAUAGAAUUUGAAACUCAAAGGGCUUGGCGGUGUUUUAGACCUCUCAGGGGAACCUGUCUCAUAAUCGACAAUCCACGUUAAACCUAACCUUUUUUUGCAUAUCAGUAUGUAUACCGUCGUCAUCAGGUAACUUAUAAAAAAUUAGAAGUUAGCAAUAAAACAAUUGUAAAUUUAAAUGUCAGAUCAAGGUGCAGCUUAUAGAAAGGUGAGGAUGGGUUACAAUUAAAAUUUAUAACUACGGAUAAAAUAGUGAAAUAUAUAUUUUAAUGAAGGAGGACUUGAAAGUAAAAUAAUUUGUAUAUAAAUAAUUUGAAUAAGGCUCUGAAACAUGU
rnacentral:rRNA from 1 species